UACGUAGGUGACAAGCGUUGUCCGGAUUUACUGGGCUUAAAGGGCGCGUAGGCGGGCUGCCAAGUCUGGGGUGAAAUCCCACGGCUCAACCGUGGAACUGCCUCGGAUACUGGCGGCCUCGAGGGAGGUAGGGGCGUGCGGAACUGUGGGUGGAGCGGUGAAAUGCGUUGAUAUCCACAGGAACUCCGGUGGCGAAGGCG
rnacentral:rRNA from 1 species